rnacentral:rRNA from 1 species
AGAUUGAACGCUAGCGGGAUGCUUUACACAUGCAAGUCGAACGGCAGCGCGGACUUCGGUCUGGCGGCGAGUGGCGAACGGGUGAGUAAUAUAUCGGAACGUGCCCAGUAGCGGGGGAUAACUACGCGAAAGCGUGGCUAAUACCGCAUACGCCCUACGGGGGAAAGGGGGGGAUCGCAAGACCUCUCACUAUUGGAGCGGCCGAUAUCAGAUUAGCUAGUUGGUGAGGUAAAGGCUCACCAAGGCGACGAUCUGUAGCUGGUUUGAGAGGACGACCAGCCACACUGGGACUGAGACACGGCCCAGACUCCUACGGGAGGCAGCAGGUGGGAACUUUGGACAAGUGGGGGAAACCUGAUCCAGCCAUCCCGCGUGUGCGAUGGAAGGCCUUCGGGUUAGUAAAGCACUUUUGGCGAGGAAGAACGGCGUCGACCCUAAGUACGGACGUCACUGACCGUACGUCGCAGAAUAA